AGGCGGCGUCUCCGGGAGCGGGUCUCCGGCUCCGCCGGCUCUUUCGCCACGGCCAGGGCCUGGCACCCACCUGACUGGCGGGGGCCCGCGCGCGACCUUCUGGGAGCAGUAGUCCCGGCGCGGGGCGUCGCGCCCAGUGACGUCAGAGAGCCCGUGGCCGGCCCUGGGUCCCACCGCUGCCGGCCCAGCGCUUUGGGGAGUGACUUCCGGCCAUGCGGGGCCUCUACCGCUGCCAUCGCGGUCCCGGUCUCCUGAAGUGGAACCCGGCUUGGAGUCGAGCGCGACCCCUCGCCCGUGGGCGCAGGCGAUCGAGUAAGGGUGGGGCGGGCCUCAAACCCGGAUCAGAACCCGCCCUGACCGGCGCAGAGAUACGGGACGCAGCCGUGAGCACUGUUUUUUAUUUCACCAUGGACCCAUCGGCGUGGGGCGCCCGCCCCGGGUGUCCUUCCUCCCCCGGGCAGCCAGAUGCUGGAACGGGAGGCACAUGUUCCGGCCCCGGCCCCUGGGAAGGAAAGAAAGGACCUUCCCGUUUCACUUGUCUCGGCUGAACAUGUAGCGGAGGAGGUCGACCACCCGGUGACUGUAGCCAUAUUCGUUGUCGUACCUGUGGAGGAGGGGUCGGGAGGUUCAAGGGGGUUCCUUCCGACCACCCCUUAGUUCCCCUCCCUCUAAGUCUCCAGCUCCUUCCCCCUUACCAUGAAAUGAGCUUCACGAAAUUGUCAUUGAGCGCAAUGCCGGCCUUAGCAUCGAAGAUGGACGAGUGGGUAUCACCGAGGAAGUCCGUAGAGACGACCUGGAAGUCAGAAUUUCAAAGAUAAGUGUGUCCGGCAGAGCAAGGACCUCCAGGAGCUGAGGCCCCGACUCUUAACUCUAUCGCCCAUCCAUGCAUUCAUCUAUAAUAUUUGAUGUAGCCCUACUGUGUCCAGUCUCUGGACUGGAGGGUAUGACCAAGUGCAGGGUAUGACCAAGGCACUGUGUCAGGGUCUGGCCAAAGGGCACAGGUCACAAACACCCUCAUGCUGUACCAGUACAUCCCUUUCCUAGGAAUAAUGCAAGCGUUUGGAAUGGGCCAGCAUGGAGGGCCUCUCUGAGGGGUGGCCAUGAGCCUGGGUCUAGAUGACUAGAAAGAUCUGACCGGCUGGGGCCCUCAGCACAGUGUCUGAGGUAGAAGGAGCUGCAGGAAGGGAGGACCUGAGGGUUUUAGCCCUAGUGUCAUGAAAGGCCACAGGAGUGUUUUCAAUCCUGAAAACGGGUGAUGCAAUGUGAUUCCAUUAAAACAAAAGAUCCCAGUGACUGUGGGAAAGUGGACCUGCAGGAGUUAAUGCAGGGAGACAGCACCAAGGUGGAUGUACAGGGGUCCACCAUGACCAUGGCAUCCACUCCUCACAGAGAAGGCAUCUGGCCAUGGCCUGGCCCUGAGCAAGUAUUGAAAAAAAUGGGAGCUGUUGUCUUUUGUUCACUAAGCAUGUAUUAGUCACCUGCUGUAUGCCAGGUUGGAGCCACAAAAGUGAAAAGGCAGCCCCUAAAUCCCUGUUUUCUUGGAGUGCACACACCACUGGGGCCAACAGUGACUAUGAAAUGAAAUUUCAGGUGAGGAAUAUGGCCACAAAAAGAACAUAUUUUGAGGGGGUGCCUUGCUGAAGAGGGAGGUUCCUCCAGAGACUUGGAGGAAGUAAGGACAGACUGUAUGGUCACCUGGCAAGGGAAGCAUUCCAGACUAAAGGAACAGCAAGUGCAAAGGCCCUGAGGCAGGGAGAUCUCCCUUCCUGCCCUGCAGUUUCUGACUUGGCACAUUGAGAGCAGCUCCCUGGCAAGUGGAAAUCAUGUCCCUUCCCAGAGGGCUCCUCCCAGGGUCUCCUCUCCUCAGCCCCUACCUCAUCCUCGGUGUAGGCAAGGAUGCCAGCCAUGGGCCCCUUGGCUGCUGCUUUUACAGCCUCCUUGAUGGCUGAGUAGGGGGCAGGCUGGGCGAGGCGGCAGGUCAGGUCCACGACAGACACAUCCGGGGUUGGUACCCGGAACGCCAUCCCUGUCAGCUUCCUGGAGAAUCCCCCAUGAGGAACAGGAGUCAGAACUUAGGGACGUUGCCCUCCAUUCCCCCUUUCCCUGUGGCUGGGCCAGGCCCCUGCUUUCCUCUUAAGGACUGAGGGCCGGGCCAGUCCAGUCCUCCUGGCGUAUGCCCCCACCCUGGUUGCAGCUUCUUGUCCUCAUACCCUUUGAGCUCUGGGAUGACUUUGGUCACAGCUUUCGCAGCCCCAGUGGAGGCUGGGAUGAUGUUCUGGUGGGCACCCCGCCCAUCUCGCCAGGCCUUCCUUGAUGGCCCGUCCACUGUCUUCUGGGUGGCCGUGUAGGAAUGGACUGUGGUCUUGGGGAAGAGAAGGACCAAGAUGAGGCCUUCAUGCUCCUAAGCUCCCAUGCCUCUUUUUUCCAGGACUAAGUUGGUGGCCUAGGUGUGGAGGCUGGUGGGGCCACCACCACAGACCACAGGAGGGGAUGUGUGCAGGCCAGGGUCCAGCCUUGCCUGAGGGUUGCACAGUGUUUUAAGUGACUUCUGCACUGGUGGGCCUCUCCUCCCGAAACCAGUCUCUCCCUCUUAACUCCAUACAGUAAGCAAGGCCCGGGAAGAAGUUGGGUUUCCCUGCCAUCCUUCCUGCCCCAGCCCCUCAUCCUCAACUCACCAUCAACCCUUCCACGAUCCCAAAUCGCUCGUGGAUGACUUUGGCGAGGGGAGCCAAACAGUUGGUGGUGCAGGACGCGUUGCUGAAACAGCCAAGGUGUGCACGGACACUGUGAGGUGAGUCGCAGAGCCACCCCUCCACCCUUACCCCUCUUGGGGUAUGCACGCAGACUUGGUUUUAUGAAACGUCAGGAUGAGGGUGAGAGGGAUCUGUGGGGACACUGUCAGACUGAAGGAGGCACUGAGGUGCAGCUGGGGAGGCUCCCCAAGCUUGUCCUCUGGAAGUCAUGCGUUUUUAGCAGAUAGUUUCGGGAAGGAGAAGCAGAAGCCAAGCGACCAGGAAUCCAGUGGGGCUGAGGGUGGGGAGGACGAGUCUACCCUCCCUUCCACACAUUGCAGGAUGUCACUGCCCACAUUACCUCACAAUGUUCAUGGAGCCAGGGUUAUAGUCAUUUUCAUUGACACCCAUGACGAACAUUGGUGCAUCCGGUGAGGGCGCGGAGAUGACCACACGUUGAGCACCUGCAGAGAUGUGGUCCUGGGGAGGAAGCGCAGGUGUCAGGGGCUUCUGGCACCAUCAUCCCCCCAGCUAGCCCUGGGCACCUCUCCCCAGCUUACCGAAGCUGCCUGUAUGGAGAGGUACACGCCUGUGGACUCCACCACGUAGGGGCUCCCGACAGCCCUCCAGGGGAUCUGUUUGGGCUCUUUGCUGUGGGGAAGUGGCAGGGCUGAGUCAGUCUCCCCUGCUUGAGCCCCACCUUCAUAGUCCAUGGCUUUCACCAUUUGACAGGCUGAGCAGGUACCGGCCCACCUGCAACCACCUGCGUCCCCUACCCCACACACCUACUUGUUCCAGAUGGGCUCCACCCCGCUGGCCUAGCUUUUCACCACUGCCCCACUUCAGACCACUUUCCCUUUGCUGAUUGCACCACCCCUGUUAUGCCUGGGUACAGGUGGUGACCUCCCCAACUCAGCCCUCAACCUCCUCAGAGGCGCCAAUGCUGACUGCUGUCAGCCAGCCCAGACCCUUUCUCCAUAUGCUGCCCGGGACGUGGACUCUGUGACUGUGAGGCCUGCCCGGCUGCUUUCUGCUUCCCAGCUCUGACAACCUCGCCAUGAACCCUCCUAGACCCUCAGCUCCUGCAAUAGGAAGCUGGCUGCCAAAGGCCAGGAGGGUCCCUGAAAACAGACACUGCAUUAAAGAAAAAGCUCCUGGAGGACUCCUGAAGCCUGAGGCAGCCUUGGGGCAGCAGUGGCUCAUGGUUUACAUUGGAAAGGUUUAUCAUGAGUAACCGGGUGCUUUGCUUCUGUGAUUCUUGGCCAGUGUCGGUCUGUUUCCUUUGCCAUUGAGCCUGCUCCCCUCAAUGGGGGGUUCAAUCAAUGUUUGUGGGGUUUGUUUGUUUUGAGACAGGGUCUUCCUCUGUCGCCCAGGCUGGAGUGCAGUGGUGCAAUCAGAGCUCACUGCAGCCUUGAUCUUCCUGGCUCCGGCCAUCCUCCUGCCUUGGCCUCCCGAGUAGCUGGGACUACAGGCGCACACCACCAUGCCAAGCUAAUUUUUAAAUUUUUUUGUAGAGAUGGGGUCUCACUUUUGUUGCCCAGGGUGCUUUAGAACCCCUGGGCUCAAGUGAUCCUUGACCUCCCACAGUGCUGGGAUUACAGGUGUGAGCCACCGUGCCUGGCCUCAUGGGUUUUCUUUGUUUUGUUUUGUUUUGUUUUUGAGACAGAGUCUCACUCUGUCACUCAGGCUGGAGUGCAGUGGCACGAUUUUGGCUCACUGCAACCUCCACCUUCCGGGUUCAAGCGAUUCUCCUGCCUCCGCCUCCCGAGUAGUUGGGGUUACAGGCAUGCGCUACCACACCUGGCUAGUUUUUUAUUGUUGUUGUUUUUUGUAUUUUUAGUGGUGACGGGGUUUGCUCUGUUGGCCAGGCUGGUCUCAAACUCCUGACCUCAGGUGAUCCCCACUUCAGCCUCCCAAAGUGCUGGGAUGACAGGCAUGAGCCUCUGCACCUGGCCUCGUGUUUUUUUUUUAGUUAGCCAUUUUAUACGUGUUUACUGAACACCUGUCCUGUGCCCAUAUUCUAAGUGCCUUACCUGCAUUAAACUCAUGUAACCUUCACAACCCGAUGAGGAAGUGCUACCGCUGUCAUUUUUUGCAUUUUUUUACUGCUGUCAGGGCAGAGGGGAGGGGAGUGAGAGGGAGAGCCUGCUGGAGUGCAGGUGGCUGGUCCCACCUCGGGUCUGCACUCCUGUUUCCACUGCCUGAAUGAAUGAAUGAAUGGGCUGCCCUGCAAAGCCAUCACACAUGCAUGGUUAUCCUCUUCCUGUCUCCUGCUCUGUCAGUCCACUUUCCAUCAUCUGGCCCAACGAGCUCUUCUCAGAUACCCCCCAUUUCCUGCCUUCCAAAUUAGGGACACUUGCGAUUCCUCUGCAACAAUUGCUGAGUUGGCCUGAGGCAAAGACUGUGCCCCCAGAAGACCCCAGGCCCUCCCCAAGGCUGUC
rnacentral:lncRNA from 10 species